rnacentral:lncRNA from 1 species
CACCAUGGAGGACCAAUUCUUCCGCGGGUACGAGGUCUGGACCACGCCGUCCAUCUUCACGGUCUCCUUGGGGGCGUACUCGUGGUGGACGCACAUGACGGCGUAGCGGUCGUCGGCGAGGGCGGCGAGCUCCGCGACGUCGGCGAGGUAGAGGAAGUCGCAGUCCACGAACACGGCCCAUCCUUGGUAGCCGGCGAGGUAGGGGGUGAGGAAUCGGGUGAAGGAGAACUCGGUGCUCUCGGUGGGGCCGCUCUCCCGCCAGAAGAGCCCCGCCUCGCGGAGCUCCGGCUGCCUGAUGGGGAUCACCUCGACGGGGAUGGACGCGCGCUUCAGAAUGGAUCGUCGGCA